rnacentral:rRNA from 1 species
AUUCCAGCUCCAAUAGCGUAUAUUAAAGUUGUUGCAGUUAAAAAGCUCGUAGUUGAACUUCUGUGUGUGCCCAGUUCUGGCUUCGGUCAAGCUGUGGUGCUCACAUCCGCUUGCAAACCUAGUCCGGCCUUCAUUGGUCGACUAGGGGAGUAGGCUUUUUACUUUGAAAAAAUUAGAGUGUUUCAAGCAGGCAAUGGCUCGAAUACAUUAGCAUGGAAUAAUGGAAUAGGACUUUUGUCCAUUUGGUUGGUUAUUGGACAUGAGUAACGAUUAACAGGGGCAGUUGGGGGCAUUAGUAUUUAAUUGUCAGAGGUGAAAUUCUUGGAUUUAUUAAAGACUAACUUAUGCGAAAGCAUUUGCCAAGGAUGUUUUCAUCG